AUUGAACGCUGGCGGCAUGCUUUACACAUGCAAGUCGAACGGUAACAGCACUUCGGUGGCUGACGAGUGGCGAACGGGUGAGUAAUACAUCGGAACGUGCCUAGUAGUGGGGGAUAACUACUCGAAAGAGUAGCUAAUACCGCAUGAGAUCUAAGGAUGAAAGCAGGGGACCUUCGGGCCUUGCGCUACUAGAGCGGCUGAUGGCAGAUUAGGUAGUUGGUGGGAUAAAAGCUUACCAAGCCGACGAUCUGUAGCUGGUCUGAGAGGACGGCCAGCCACACUGGGACUGAGACACGGCCCAGACUCCUACGGGAGGCAGCAGUGGGGAAUUUUGGACAAUGGGCGCAAGCCUGAUCCAGCAAUGCCGCGUGCAGGAUGAAGGCCUUCGGGUUGUAAACUGCUUUUGUACGGAACGAAAAGCCCUCUUCUAAUACAGGAGGGUCAUGACGGUACCGUAAGAAUAAGCACCGGCUAACUACGUG
rnacentral:rRNA from 1 species